UUUCCGUAGGUGAACCUGCGGAAGGAUCAUUAUUGUAUAACCGAGGUGCGAGGGCUGUCGCUGACCCGAAAGGUCGUGCACGCCCGAGUGCCCUCACACACAUCCAUCUCACCCCUAUGUGCACCACCGCGUGGGUCCCCCUUUGGCUUGUUCGGAGGGGGGCUUACGUUUUCACACAAACUUUGUAUGCAGUGUAGAAUGUAUUUUUUGUUUUUGCGAUCACGCAAUCAAUACAACUUUCAACAACGGAUCUCUUGGCUCUCGCAUCGAUGAGAACGAGC
rnacentral:misc_RNA from 1 species